UUACUGAGUGAGGGCCUCCGGGUCCGACCUCCAACCCUUUGUGAACCAACCUCGUUGCUUCGGGGGCGACCCCGCCGUUCGGCGUGCGGCGCCCCCGGAGGCCAUCAAACACUGCGUAACCUUGCGUCGGAGUCUUGAUUAAAUCAAACAAAACUUUCAACAACGGAUCUCUUGGUUCUGGCAUCGAUGAAGAACGCAGCGAAAUGCGAUAAGUAAUGUGAAUUGCAGAAUUCAGUGAAUCAUCGAAUCUUUGAACGCACAUUGCGCCCUUUGGUAUUCCGAAGGGCAUGCCUGUUCGAGCGUCAUUACACCACUCAAGCCUGGCUUGGUAUUGGGCGCCGCGGGGGACCCCGCGCGCCUUAAAGUCCUUCCGGCUGAGUCGUCCGUCUCUAAGCGUUGUGGCAAACAAUUCGCGGCGGGACCGGGCGGCGCGGCCGUUAAAUCUUUCAUUCAGGUUGACCUCGGAUCAGGUAGGGAUACCCGCUGAACUUAAGCAUAUCAAUAAGCGGAGGAAAAGAAACCAACAGGGAUUGCCCUAGUAACGGCGAGUGAAGCGGCAACAGCUCAAAUUUGAAACCUGGCGCAAGCCCGGAUUGUAAUUUGUAGA
rnacentral:rRNA from 1 species